rnacentral:rRNA from 1 species
GACGAACGCUGGCGGCGUGCUUAACACAUGCAAGUCGAGCGAUGAAGUUCCUUCGGGAACGGAUUAGCGGCGGACGGGUGAGUAACACGUGGGUAACCUGCCUCAUAGAGGGGAAUAGCCUUCCGAAAGGAAGAUUGAUACCGCAUAAGAUUGUAGUAUCGCAUGAUACAGCAAUUAAAGGAGCAAUCCGCUAUGAGAUGGACCCGCGUCGCAUUAGCGAGUUGGUGAGGUAACGGCUCACCAAGGCGACGAUGCGUAGCCGACCUGAGAGGGUGAUCGGCCACAUUGGGACUGGGACACGGCCCAGACUCCUACGGGAGGCAGCAGUGGGGAAUAUUGCACAAUGGGGGAAACCCUGAUGCAGCAACGCCGCGUGAGUGAUGAAGGUCUUCGGAUUGUAAAACUCUGUCUUCAGGGACGAUAAUGACGGUACCUGAGGAGGAAGCCACGGCUAACUACGUGCCAGCAGCCGCAGUAA